rnacentral:rRNA from 1 species
GACGAACGCUGGCGGCGUGCUUAACACAUGCAAGUCGAACGGAAAGGCCUGCUUUCCCUUGUGGAUUGCGGGUACUCGAGUGGCGAACGGGUGAGUAACACGUGAGUGAUCUGCCCCCAACUUGGGUAUAAGCCUGGGAAACUGGGUCUAAUUCCCGAUAGGACUGCAGGGUGGUGCCUGUGGUGGAAAACGAUUUUCUAGUAGUUGGGGAUGAGCUCGCGGCCUAUCAGCUUGUUGGUGGGGUAAUGACCUACCAAGGCGGCGACGGGUAGCCGGCCUGGGAGGGUGGACGGCCACAUUGGGACUGAGAUACGGCCCAGACUCCUACGGGAGGCAGCAGUGGGGAAUAUUGCACAAUGGGCGGAAGCCUGAUGCAGCGACGCCGCGUGGGGGAUGACGGCCUUCGGGUUGUAAACUCCUUUCGACCGCGAGGAAGCCACCUGGUUGGAAGGGUGGUGACGGUAGUGGUAGAAGAAGCACCGGCUAACUACGUG